GAUGCGUGAGUCGAUCCACAGCAGACCGAGGCGCCUCAAUAUAGAAAUAUAUACGAUUUGUACACGAUCCCAAACAAUUCAUACGACUACAAAUCAGUCGAAAGACUAUGCGUAGUUCGAGCUGCAAUUAAUUAGCAGCUGGCGAACUUCUUCUUCUUCUUGUUUGGCAGUGCACAACCUUGAAGGUUCAAGGUCAGACUCGCCUACAUAAAAAAACCGAGCUAGUUGAAUAUUGACAUGGAACUGGUUUCUCCAUCGUCUGGAAAUAAUCAAAACAUCAAGUCGCACUUGAGACGCAAUAUCCCACAACCGGGCCGAAUCUGUUUCUGGGUCUAUCAUAGACAAGUGGAAGCGAUUUGUAUGCCGAAUGGAACCACGAAGAAACGCUAACAAAUCGCUGACAUUGACUUUGCAUACAAAACUAACCACAUUAAUAAUUUACAGUAUGUUAAUUAGAUAUGCAUAUAACUAAUAUAGUAUACAUAAGUUAAUCGGCGGAAGAGGUUAUGUCAACAGCAGCAGUAAGUAAACGCUUUUGCAUUUCGAUGGUGUGAACAUUUAUAAUUAUUAACCAGAGUAAACAGUUAGUUUUGAUAUAAAUAAAUGCCCUUGCGGGGGAAUAAUUUAUGUUUUAGAGGAUUUGUGACUUAAUAGGGCUGUUAAAAAUAUAAUUAUGUUAUGUUAUA